GACCGCGUAGCUCAGUUGGAAGAGCAUUGGUCUGGUAUUCCAAAGGUCGUAGGUUCGAAUCCCACCGUGGCCG